UACGUAGGGUGCAAGCGUUGUCCGGAAUUAUUGGGCGUAAAGGGCUCGUAGGCGGUUUGUCGCGUCGGGAGUGAAAAUCCAGGGCUUAACUCUGGACUGGCUUCCGAUACGGGCAGACUAGAGGUAUGCAGGGGAGAACGGAAUUCCUGGUGUAGCGGUGAAAUGCGCAGAUAUCAGGAGGAACACCGGUGGUGAAGGCGGUUCUCUGGGCAUUACCUGACGCUGAGGAGCGAAAGUGUGGGGAGCGAACAGG
rnacentral:rRNA from 1 species